CCUACGGGUGGCAGCAGUGAGGAAUAUUGGUCAAUGGGCGCUAGCCUGAACCAGCCAAGUAGCGUGAAGGAUGACUGCCCUAUGGGUUGUAAACUUCUUUUAUAUGGGAAUAAAGUGCAGUAUGUAUACUGCUUUGCAUGUACCUUAUGAAUAAGGAUCGGCUAACUCCGUGCCAGCAGCCGCGGUAAUACGGAGGAUGCGAGCGUUAUCCGGAUUUAUUGGGUUUAAAGGGUGCGUAGGCGGGCUGUUAAGUCAGCGGUAAAAGCCCGGGGCUCAACCCCGGCGAGCCGUUGAAACUGGCUGUCUUGAGAUGUCGAGAGGUAUGCGGAAUGCGCAGUGUAGCGGUGAAAUGCUUAGAUAUUGCGCAGAACUCCGAUUGCGAAGGCAGCAUACCGGCGGCGAUCUGACGCUGAGGCACGAAAGCGUGGGUAUCGAACAGGAUUAGAUACCCGUGUAGUC
rnacentral:rRNA from 1 species